rnacentral:rRNA from 1 species
ACGCUCGACACCUACGGAAGGCAGCAGUGGGGGAUAUUGCACAAUGGGGGAAACCCUGAUGCAGCAACGCCGCGUGAAGGAUGAAGGUUUUCGGAUUGUAAACUUCUGUUCUUAGUGACGAUAAUGACGGUAGCUAAGAAGAAAGCUCCGGCUAACUACGUGCCAGCAGCCGCGGUAAUCUGAGCGGGCUGGCAAGGC